AUUGAACGCUGGCGGAAGGCCUAACACAUGCAAGUCGAGCGAGCGGAGGACGGGUGAGUAAUGUCUGGGAAACUGCCUGAUGGAGGGGGAUAACUACUGGAAACGGUAGCUAAUACCGCAUACCAUCAGAUGUGCCCAGAUGGGAGUAUCUAGUAGGUGGGGUAAUGGCUCACCUAGGCGACGAACCCUAGCUGGUCUGAGAGGAUGACCAGACACACUGGAACUGAGAAACGGUCCUGACUCCUAGGGGAGGCAGCAGUGGAGAUUAUUGCACAAUGGGCGAAAGCCUGAAGCAGCCAGUCCGGGUGUGUGAAGAAGGCCUUCGGGUUGGAAAGCACUUUCAGCGGGGAGGCGUUUCCCGCAGAAGAAGCAGCGGCUAAAUCCGUGCCAGCAGCCGCGGGAAUC
rnacentral:rRNA from 1 species